UACAGGGGUCUCGAGCGUUAAUCGGAAUCACUGGGCUUAAAGGGAGCGUAGGCUGGCCAGCAAGUGCUUUGUGAAAUCCCCAGGCUCAACCUGGGAACUGCGUCUGAUACUGGAUGGCUUGAAUCCGGGAGAGGGAUGCAGAAUUCCAGGUGUAGCGGUGAAAUGCGUAGAUAUCUGGAGGAAUACCGGUGGCGAAGGCGGCAUCCUGGACCGGCAUUGACGCUGAGGAGCGAAAGCCAGGGGAGCAAACGGG
rnacentral:rRNA from 1 species